rnacentral:rRNA from 1 species
ACUACGGGAGGCAGCAGUGAGGAAUAUUGGUCAAUGGCCGGAAGGCUGAACCAGCCAUGCCGCGUGAAGGUCAGUGCCCUAUGGGCGUUAAACUUCUUUUGUGCGGGAGCAAUAAUGGUCACGUGUGGCCAGACGAGAGUACCGUAAGAAUAAGCAUCGGCUAACUCCGUGCCAGCAGCCGCGGUAAUACGGGGGAUGCCAGCGUUAUCCGGAUUUUGUGGGAUGUAAGGGUGCGUAGGCUGGGAGGUAAGUCAGCGGUGAAAUGCCCCCGCUCAACGGGGUGAAGUGCCAUUGAUACUGCCAUGCUGGAAUGCGGAUGCCGUGGGAGGAAUGUGUGGUGUAGCGGUGAAAUGCAUAGAGAUCACACAGAACACCGAUUGCGAAGGCAUCUCACGAAUCCGCGAUUGACGCUGAUGCACGAAAGCGUGGGUAUCAAACAGGAUUAGAUACCCCAGUAGUC